UACAGAGACUGCAAGCGUUAUUCAGAUUCACUGGGCGUAAAGGGUGCGCAGGCGGCCAAGUGUGUGAGGCGUGAAAGCCCGGGGCUUAACCCCGGAAUUGCACCUCAAACUACAUGGCUAGAGCAUUGGAGAGGGUAGCGGAAUUCACGGUGUAGCAGUGAAAUGCGUAGAUAUCGUGAGGAACACCAGAGGCGAAGGCGGCUACCUGGACAAUUGCUGACGCUCAGGCACGAAAGCGUGGGGAGCAAAAGGG
rnacentral:rRNA from 1 species